rnacentral:lncRNA from 1 species
CAUGAGCAAAUGGUAGGUAGACUGGUAGCUCGAAAGGCAUUGGGAUGAGGCCAACCUAAAAUCGCAUUGUAGGUAGAAGGGAUUCGGACUACUAGGAAGUCUAGUUUCACCAUGCUCUACCAAGGCUCUUGACCCGCAGUGAUAGGUAGGUUAAUUACAUAUUCCAUGAGAAUAGAGUCUUUUGAAAAAUUGACUAGUGGUGAAUUGACCUUUCUUAGCCAUUCGGCAGGUAACUUUAUUUUUUAGAAGGCAUCGUAAAAUAACAUAUCAGAUGAACUUUCAUUAUCUACAGGAGUUCCUCUUACAUCAUAGUUUGAAAUAGUAAAAGAGAUAACAACAGCAUCAUUAUGAGGAGUUUGGACUCCUUUUAGGUCGACAUC